AUUGAACGCUGGCGGCAGGCCUAACACAUGCAAGUCGAGCGAGCGGCGGACGGGUGAGUAAUGUAUGGGGACUGCCCGAUAGAGGGGGAUAACUACUGGAAACGGUGGCUAAUACCGCAUACUAUCGGAUAACCCAUAUGGGAUUAGCUAGUAGGUGGGGUAAAGGCUCACCUAGGCGACGUUCUCUAGCUGGUCUGAGGGGAUGAUCGGGCACACGGGGACUGGGACAGGGCGCAGACUCCUACGGAGGCAGCGGUGGGAAAUAUUGCACAAGGGGGGCAAGCCGGAUGUGGACAUGCGGCGGGUAUGAAGAGGGCGUUAGGGUGGUAAAGUACUUUCAGCGGGGAGGCGUUACCCGAAGAAGAAGCCCCGGCUAACUCCGUGCCAGCAGCCGCGGUAAUAC
rnacentral:rRNA from 1 species